AAGCAAUUCAAUUUAUUUUAUCGAUAUUCAGUAUUUGGGUCAAUAUUUGGACUUAUCCAGUUCCGACAGUUAUGAGCCUGGGUUAGCUACCUAUUGCUAUACUUAUAUCUAUAUCUUAUAUCUACCUUGAUAUCUAUCCAUACCGACCUCCUUAUCGGCACAGAUAUCUAUAUCUUAUAUCUAUCUUGAUAUCUAUCCAUACCAACCUUCUUAUCAGCACAGAUAUCUAUUUGAUCUGAUCUCACCAACCUUCUUAUUGGCAAUGAUAUUGGCAUACUCUAUAUCAAUCUAUAUCUGUUUGAUCUAUAAUAUCAACUGAUUGCCCCGGUGGCCGAAUGGGUAAUGCGGCCACCUGGUAGCGCCUUGGCGUGGGGACCCAAGGCGCGUGGGUUUGAAACCCGCAGGGGACAACAUUACAUCCGGAGCCAACUUCUCAGCUCCUAAAACAAUGAGAUGUGAACUUGCCAAGUAGGUACCUUCGGGCGGACCUACUACCUGAUUUAGCUGAUUUUUCCUGGGCUGGGAACCUGUAUUGCAUGUACCAAUUCUGUCUUUCAUUAAUUUUCCUAUGUUCCUGUUAUAUUCUUGGCGUUGUUCAACACUAAGCAUUCCUCCUGUAUAACCAACUCUUGCCUGUAUUUAACAUCACAUAAGGACUCGUCAUAAGCACUGCUUGCAUACGAGUAUAACGGAAGAAUAAUAAUAAUAAUAAUAAUAUC
rnacentral:sRNA from 1 species